UAAGAUAAAAUACAUCAUGAGUUUAUGCCAAUAUUCUAUGUCUCACUUAAAUUCAGGGCCACAGAGUUUUCCCUUAUUUUCUUUGACCUAUGUCUUUUAAUUCUCAUGCUAAGAAUACCAGUUUUCAUUGCUAAAAAUGAUGGAAUACCAUAUAAUUAGUCAUUAGCAUAACCCACAAUAUCCACCCAAAAGUCUCAGAGUAUCAAUACCAAUGUUACUAUCAAUCAACAAUACAAUUACUGAAAAAUAAUUGAAGUUUUUUUGUGGUGAGGGGAUUCUUUAAAAUACAUCCCACUGUUGCAGGUUACUGAGGUUUCAAGUUAUAGAAAU
rnacentral:lncRNA from 1 species